rnacentral:lncRNA from 10 species
UUCAGAUACGUAACUUCCUAGAAGAGAAGGCAAGAGGGCAGGCAGAGAUCACCUCACUGGCUCUCGGAAUGGCUGAGGCAUUUUACGCAUGACCCCCAGGAGGAGAGAAGCAGCACUAUCAGAACGUGACAGACUUUCCAGAAUUUUAUGAAAUUCUUCUAGUCGCUGGUAUAGUUUGACUUUUUCUAGCGUUGAAACCUAACCCCCAGGUGAUGGUAUUAGGAGGUGGGGCCUCUGGGAGGUGAUUAUGUCAUGGGACUGGAGCCCUCACAAAUGGGAUUAGUGCCCUUCUCAAAGAGGCCCCUAAGAGAUCCCUCAGCACUUCCACCCCAUGAGGACACAGUGAGAAGGUGCUGUCUCAGAACCAGAAAAUGGGCCCUUGCCAGACAUGGAACCUGCUGGUGCCCUAAUCUUGGUCUUCCCAGCCUCCAGAGCUAUCCAAAAUAUAU